GAUGCAGUGCUUAUCUCGAGGUUGGAGAGUGGGUUUACUCGACCUCAGAUAAAGAGAAUCGAACAGCAAGUCAAGACUACAGUUACCAAAAAACAAGCUGCAGAUUCUGCUAAAACAGUUAAAGAGAAAACAACAUCAAAGUCAGUUGAGUCUGAAGAGCCUUCUAAGGCACGUAAAAGACCAACCAACGUCCCUUCCACUGAGACUGGCCCAUCGAAGAAGCCAAAACCUAACACAAUAGUCGUCAGUGACGAAGAAGAGGUAUAAG